rnacentral:rRNA from 1 species
UACGUAGGGAGCAAGCGUUGUCCGGAAUCAUUGGGCGUAAAGCGCGCGUAGGUGGCUUCGUAAGUCCGCUGUGAAAGUCAAAGGCUCAACCUUUGAAUGUCAGUGGAUACUGCCGGGCUAGAGUCCGGAAGAGGCGAGUGGAACUCCUGGUGUAGCGGUGGAAUGCGCAGAUAUCGGGAGGAACACCAGUAGCGAAGGCGGCACUCUGGGCCGGUACUGACGCUGAGGAGCGAAAGCGUGGGGAGCGAACAGG